rfam:Dictyocaulus viviparus strain HannoverDv2000 D_viviparus-1.0_Cont1357.2, whole genome shotgun sequence.
GCCUCGGUGGUGUAAUGGGAAGCACGGCAGACCGGAUAUCUGUAAGUGUGGGUACGAGUCCCGCCUGAGGUA